rnacentral:rRNA from 1 species
AUUGAACGCUGGCGGCAUGCCUUACACAUGCAAGUCGAACGGCAGCGGACCUUCGGGUGCCGGCGAGUGGCGAACGGGUGAGUAAUGCAUCGGAACGUACCUUUCAGUGGGGGAUAACGUAGCGAAAGUUACGCUAAUACCGCAUAUUCUGUGAGCAGGAAAGCAGGGGAUCGCAAGACCUUGCGCUGAUUGAGCGGCCGAUGUCAGAUUAGCUAGUUGGUGAGGUAAAGGCUCACCAAGGCGACGAUCUGUAGCGGGUCUGAGAGGAUGAUCCGCCACACUGGGACUGAGACACGGCCCAGACUCCUACGGGAGGCAGCAGUGGGGAAUUUUGGACAAUGGGGGCAACCCUGAUCCAGCCAUGCCGCGUGAGUGAAGAAGGCCUUCGGGUUGUAAAGCUCUUUCGGCCGGGAAGAAAUCGCACAGGCUAAUACCUUGUGUGGAUGACGGUACCGGAAUAAGAAGCACCGGCUAACUACGUGCCAGCCGCCGCAGUAACAC